rnacentral:rRNA from 1 species
GAUGAACGCUAGCGGCAGGCCUAACACAUGCAAGUCGAGGGGUAGAACACUUCGGUGUUUGAGACCGGCGCACGGGCGCGUAACGCGUAUGCAAUCUACCUUGUACAGGGGAAUAGCCCAGAGAAAUUUGGAUUAAUGCCCCAUAGUAUAUAACCUUCGCAUGUUGGUUAUAUUAAAGUUCCAACGGUACAAGAUGAGCAUGCGUCCCAUUAGUUAGUUGGUAAGGUAACGGCUUACCAAGACGAUGAUGGGUAGGGGUCCUGAGAGGGAGAUCCCCCACACUGGUACUGAGACACGGACCAGACUCCUACGGGAGGAAGCAGUGAGGAAUAUUGGUCAAUGGGCGCAAGCCUGAACCAGCCAUGCCGCGUGCAGGAAGACGGUCCUAUGGAUUGUAAACUGCUUUUAUACAGGAAGAAACCCUCCCACGUGUGGGAGAUUGACGGUACUGUAGGAAUAAGGAUCGGCUAACUCCGUGCCAGCCGCCGCAGUAAAAC